AAACUUUUAACAACGGAUCUCUUGGUUCCGGUAUCGAUGAAGAACGCAGCGAAAUGCGAUAAGUAAUGUGAAUUGCAGAAUUCAGUGAAUCAUCGAAUCUUUGAACGCACAUUGCGCCCCCUGGUAUUCCGGGGGGCAUGCCUGUUCGAGCGUCAUU
rnacentral:rRNA from 1 species